rnacentral:rRNA from 1 species
CGUGUAGGCGGUGCGAUAAGUUGGGCGUGAAAUCCCCGAGCUUAACUCGGGUGGGCCGUUCAAGACUGCCGUGCUAGGGUGCGGGAGAGGGAAGUGGAAUUUCCGGUGUAGCGGUGAAAUGCGUAGAUAUCGGGAGGAACACCUGCGGCGAAGGCGGCUUCCUGGACCGUAACCGACGCUGAGGCGCGAAAGCUAGGGGAGCAAACAGGAUUAGAUACCCGUGGUAGUCCUAGCCCUAAACGAUGAGCACUGGGUGUGGCCCCUCACGAGGCCGUGCCGAAGCUAACGCAUUAAGUGCUCCGCCGUGGGGAGUACGGUCGCAAGGCUGAA